AAUAGAUGACGCCGUUGACUUUUUCUCACAUGUUUGACUAUUCAUCUUAUUAAAAAAAAUUUAUGUUAUUAUAAUUUAUUUUGUUAUAAGUUAUUUUAUCACUCAUAAUAUUUUAAGUGUGAUUUAUAUCUUAUACAUUUGCAUAAAAUUUUUGAAUAAGACGAAUGGUUAAACAUGUGAGAAAAAGUUAACGGCGUCAUCUAUU
rfam:Oryza sativa Japonica Group DNA, chromosome 6, cultivar: Nipponbare, complete sequence.